rnacentral:lncRNA from 1 species
CUUGUGGUGCUCUGCAGGCGAUGAAAAACUUGGCCAGCUUCAGCAGCAAGGCAGCCAUUAGAAAAUUAACCCUUGGUGAAUGCAAAGGGGGCUGUGGCCAGAGCAGGGGAUGCUAGAGCGACAGAAUGCUGAAGAUAGUUGUCCCAGCUACGAGAUAAAAGCUACAUUACAUGAAAUUAAUGGAGGCUGUCUGCGACAUACAUGAAUCACUGUUUCAACACUAAGAAACCAGCACAAAAGAAUAAAGAAAUCUGAGUACUAACU